rnacentral:rRNA from 1 species
GGUUAAGCGACUAAGCGUACACGGUGGAUGCCCUGGCAGUCAGAGGCGAUGAAGGACGUGCUAAUCUGCGAUAAGCGUCGGUGAGGUGAUAUGAACCGUUAUAACCGGCGAUUUCCGAAUGGGGAAACCCAGUGUGUUUCGACACACUAUCAUUAACUGAAUCCAUAGGUUAAUGAGGCGAACCGGGGGAACUGAAACAUCUAAGUACCCCGAGGAAAAGAAAUCAACCGAGAUUCCCCCAGUAGCGGCGAGCGAACGGGGAGGAGCCCAGAGCCUGAAUCAGUGUGUGUGUUAGUGGAAGCGUCUGGAAAGGCGCGCGAUACAGGGUGACAGCCCCGUACACAAAAAUGCACAUGCUGUGAGCUCGAUGAGUAGGGCGGGACACGUGGUAUCCUGUCUGAAUAUGGGGGGACCAUCCUCCAAGGCUAAAUACUCCUGACUGACCGAUAGUGAACCAGUACCGUGAGGGAAAGGCGAAAAGAACCCCGGCGAGGGGAGUGAAAAAGAACCUGAAACCGUGUACGUACAAGCAGUGGGAGCCUCUUAAUGGGGUGACUGCGUACCUUUUGUAUAAUGGGUCAGCGACUUAUAUUCUGUAGCAAGGUUAACCGAAUAGGGGAGCCGAAGGGAAACCGAGUCUUAACUGGGCGUUAAGUUGCAGGGUAUAGACCCGAAACCCGGUGAUCUAGCCAUGGGCAGGUUGAAGGUUGGGUAACACUAACUGGAGGACCGAACCGACUAAUGUUGAAAAAUUAGCGGAUGACUUGUGGCUGGGGGUGAAAGGCCAAUCAAACCGGGAGAUAGCUGGUUCUCCCCGAAAGCUAUUUAGGUAGCGCCUCGUGAAUUCAUCUCCGGGGGUAGAGCACUGUUUCGGCAAGGGGGUCAUCCCGACUUACCAACCCGAUGCAAACUGCGAAUACCGGAGAAUGUUAUCACGGGAGACACACGGCGGGUGCUAACGUCCGUCGUGAAGAGGGAAACAACCCAGACCGCCAGCUAAGGUCCCAAAGUCAUGGUUAAGUGGGAAACGAUGUGGGAAGGCCCAGACAGCCAGGAUGUUGGCUUAGAAGCAGCCAUCAUUUAAAGAAAGCGUAAUAGCUCACUGGUCGAGUCGGCCUGCGCGGAAGAUGUAACGGGGCUAAACCAUGCACCGAAGCUGCGGCAGCGACACUAUGUGUUGUUGGGUAGGGGAGCGUUCUGUAAGCCUGUGAAGGUGGCCUGUGAGGGUUGCUGGAGGUAUCAGAAGUGCGAAUGCUGACAUAAGUAACGAUAAAGCGGGUGAAAAGCCCGCUCGCCGGAAGACCAAGGGUUCCUGUCCAACGUUAAUCGGGGCAGGGUGAGUCGACCCCUAAGGCGAGGCCGAAAGGCGUAGUCGAUGGGAAACAGGUUAAUAUUCCUGUACUUGGUGUUACUGCGAAGGGGGGACGGAGAAGGCUAUGUUGGCCGGGCGACGGUUGUCCCGGUUUAAGCGUGUAGGCUGGUUUUCCAGGCAAAUCCGGAAAACCAAGGCUGAGGCGUGAUGACGAGGCACUACGGUGCUGAAGCGACAAAUGCCCUGCUUCCAGGAAAAGCCUCUAAGCAUCAGGUAACAUCAAAUCGUACCCCAAACCGACACAGGUGGUCAGGUAGAGAAUACCAAGGCGCUUGAGAGAACUCGGGUGAAGGAACUAGGCAAAAUGGUGCCGUAACUUCGGGAGAAGGCACGCUGAUAUGUAGGUGAAGCGACUUGCUCGUGGAGCUGAAAUCAGUCGAAGAUACCAGCUGGCUGCAACUGUUUAUUAAAAACACAGCACUGUGCAAACACGAAAGUGGACGUAUACGGUGUGACGCCUGCCCGGUGCCGGAAGGUUAAUUGAUGGGGUUAGCGGCAACGCGAAGCUCUUGAUCGAAGCCCCGGUAAACGGCGGCCGUAACUAUAACGGUCCUAAGGUAGCGAAAUUCCUUGUCGGGUAAGUUCCGACCUGCACGAAUGGCGUAAUGAUGGCCAGGCUGUCUCCACCCGAGACUCAGUGAAAUUGAACUCGCUGUGAAGAUGCAGUGUACCCGCGGCAAGACGGAAAGACCCCGUGAACCUUUACUAUAGCUUGACACUGAACAUUGAGCCUUGAUGUGUAGGAUAGGUGGGAGGCUUUGAAGUGUGGACGCCAGUCUGCAUGGAGCCGACCUUGAAAUACCACCCUUUAAUGUUUGAUGUUCUAACGUGGGCCCGUAAUCCGGGUUGCGGACAGUGUCUGGUGGGUAGUUUGACUGGGGCGGUCUCCUCCUAAAGAGUAACGGAGGAGCACGAAGGUUGGCUAAUCCUGGUCGGACAUCAGGAGGUUAGUGCAAUGGCAUAAGCCAGCUUGACUGCGAGCGUGACGGCGCGAGCAGGUGCGAAAGCAGGUCAUAGUGAUCCGGUGGUUCUGAAUGGAAGGGCCAUCGCUCAACGGAUAAAAGGUACUCCGGGGAUAACAGGCUGAUACCGCCCAAGAGUUCAUAUCGACGGCGGUGUUUGGCACCUCGAUGUCGGCUCAUCACAUCCUGGGGCUGAAGUAGGUCCCAAGGGUAUGGCUGUUCGCCAUUUAAAGUGGUACGCGAGCUGGGUUUAGAACGUCGUGAGACAGUUCGGUCCCUAUCUGCCGUGGGCGCUGGAGAACUGAGGGGGGCUGCUCCUAGUACGAGAGGACCGGAGUGGACGCAUCACUGGUGUUCGGGUUGUCAUGCCAAUGGCACUGCCCGGUAGCUAAAUGCGGAAGAGAUAAGUGCUGAAAGCAUCUAAGCACGAAACUUGCCCCGAGAUGAGUUCUCCCUGACUCCUUGAGAGUCCUGAAGGAACGUUGAAGACGACGACGUUGAUAGGCCGGGUGUGUAAGCGCAGCGAUGCGUUGAGCUAACCGGUACUAAUGAACCGUGAGGCUUAACCUU